rnacentral:snoRNA from 1 species
AUACCAUGAUGAGGACAUUUUCUGAAUAACUCCUUAAAUCUCUCCCAUGCGUCACUCAAGCUCUCAUCUUCAAGUUGAUGAAAAGAUGUGAUCUCGUUCCUCAACUU